AAGGGCGACACUUUCACUCUCAGACUGCUGGUCAAUGAGCCAAGCCCUUGAACCUCUUCUGGGCUGCCAGAGUAUUUCAUGGAUAUCAAAAUCUCCUGCGUCAGGCUCACAGAGCAGAAGCUGUGACUGAAGGCUCACCCAUACCAGCUACACAGGCUGUGGGAGCAUUGAAGAGAUGCUUGUUAUCAUCCAGCUAGGCUAAUCCAUUUUAUAAAGUCCCAAGGACUGGCGCCUGGUUGCUAAGUGAUUUAGACACAGCCUUUUCCUGCACUCUUAAAACAUUUCCCGAAAGUCUUCAUUGGCCAUGGCAUGACUCUGCUAGCUGUGCCGUGCUCCCAGUACUUAGGAGCUGUGCUCCCAGUACUUUAGGAGUACUGUCUGUCUUGAGACCAGGUGGUCCCUUGUAGAACUGGGAUGGGAUCUGAUGCUGUGUUGGUCUCAUAACUGGACAUGUGGGAAUACUUUUUAACUCCCCUUAGAAAGAACUUAUCAAUAAGGCAAUAAACUUAUCAAUAAACUUGUUUGUUUACAUAA
ensembl:lincRNA Gm33973 predicted gene, 33973